ensembl:rRNA predicted gene, 23392
GUCUAUGGCCAUGCUAUCCUGAAUGUGUCCAAUCUCAUCUGGAAGGUAAGCAGGGCCAGGCCUGGCUAGUGUUUGGAUGGGAGAGGUAAGAAAGGCUUCUGAAGUCAAAGUCC